GGUUAGACGCUUGAUGCAACAAGCAGAGGAAGACAUAGUAAGAUCACCAAGUUGUUAUUUAAGUGAGGAAGAGGUAGCUCCUUGUGUUGUAUUAUAGGAGAAAGAUAUAGAGAAUGAAGGGGUUUCUUUAGAUUAUUACUUCACUGCCUCUUGGAAGAACAACCCAGCUCAAUUCCUACAUGCGUGAGAA